rnacentral:rRNA from 1 species
AUUGAACGCUGGCGGCAUGCUCUACACAUGCAAGUCGAACGGUAACAGGCCGCAAGGUGCUGACGAGUGGCGAACGGGUGAGUAAUGCAUCGGAACGUGCCCAGUCGUGGGGGAUAACUACUCGAAAGAGUAGCUAAUACCGCAUACGAUCUAUGGAUGAAAGCGGGGGACCGUAAGGCCUCGCGCGAUUGGAGCGGCCGAUGUCAGAUUAGGUAGUUGGUGGGGUAAAGGCUCACCAAGCCAACGAUCUGUAGCUGGUCUGAGAGGACGACCAGCCACACUGGGACUGAGACACGGCCCAGACUCCUACGGGAGGCAGCAGUGGGGAAUUUUGGACAAUGGGCGCAAGCCUGAUCCAGCAAUGCCGCGUGCAGGAAGAAGGCCUUCGGGUUGUAAACUGCUUUUGUACGGAACGAAACGGCUCUGGUUAAUACCCGGGGCUAAUGACGGUACCGUAAGAAUAAACACCGGCGAACUACGU